AGAGUUUGAUCAUGGCUCAGGAUGAACGCUAGCGGCAGGCCUAAUACAUGCAAGACGAACGGUAAGUUGAGUAGCAAUACUUAGCCAAGAGUGUCGUACGGGUGCGUAACACGUAUGCAACCUACCCUAUACAGGAGGAUAGCCUAGGGAAACCUGGAUUAACCUUCAUAGUAUUAUUGGAUGGCAUCAUUUGAUAAUUAAAACUGAGGUGGUAUAGGAUGGGCAUGCGUCUGAUUAGUUAGUUGGCGGGGUAAUGGCCCACCAAGACGAUGAUCAGUAGGGGUUCUGAGAGGAAGAUCCCCCACACUGGCACUGAGAUACGGGCCAGACUCCUACGGGAGGCAGCAGUAGGGAAUAUUGGUCAAUGGAUGCAAGUCUGAACCAGCCAUGCCGCGUGCAGGAAGAAGGCCUUCUGGGUUGUAAACUGCUUUUGCCAGGGGAUAAAAUUUCCAUGCGUGGAAAACUGAAGGUACCUGGUGAAUAAGCCACGGCUAACUACGUG
rnacentral:rRNA from 1 species